CGCUGCCGGUCCUCCUCCGCCUUGCGCUCCCGCGACGCCUUGGCGACCGCGGCGCG
rnacentral:tRNA from 1 species